UACGUAGGGUGCGAGCGUUGUCCGGAAUUAUUGGGCGUAAAGAGCUCGUAGGCGGCCUGUCGCGUCAAUUGUGAAAGCCCGGGGCUCAACCCCGGGUCUGCAGUCGAUACGGGCAGGCUAGAGUUCGGUAGGGGAGAUCGGAAUUCCUGGUGUAGCGGUGAAAUGCGCAGAUAUCAGGAGGAACACCGGUGGCGAAGGCGGAUCUCUGGGCCGACACUGACGCUGAGGAGCGAAAGCGUGGGGAGCGAACAGG
rnacentral:rRNA from 1 species